UCAUCUCUUCGGCUGCAAUAAAACCACAGAGGCCCAAUGAGAGAGAUGGAGGAGAGGAGGAAGCGGGAGGAACCUGCAGAAGCAUAAGAAGCUCCGUGCAUGUCUGUGAAAAACCCACCUUGCGGUCACCUUUUCCCUUCCGACCUCUCUUUCUCUGAUAAGUUAGAGGCUGCGCCGGAUAAUCAUUUUGAUAUCGAGGUUUGGCAUGGAAGAUAGUUAGCUAGAACUUUAUGUUUUACAAGUAUUAGAGCUAUGUAUAUAGUACUCGUAAUAAGUUACAACCCGAAAGAUUUUGUUUAAUUGCUCAUGGGAUGUCGUAAGAAAUAUGUUAUAUUUAUCUUUUUAGAGA